CGGGGCGUGGCUCAGUCCGGUAGAGCGCUCGGUUCGGGACCGAGAGGUCGCUGGUUCGAAUCCAGUCGCCCCGA
rnacentral:tRNA from 1 species